rnacentral:rRNA from 1 species
GAGAUAGCUGGUUCUCCCCGAAAGCUAUUUAGGUAGCGCCUCGUGAAUUCAUCUUCGGGGGUAGAGCACUGUUUCGGCUAGGGGGUCAUCCCGACUUACCAACCCGAUGCAAACUGCGAAUACCGAAGAAUGUUAUCACGGGAGACACACGGCGGGUGCUAACGUCCGUCGUGAAGAGGGAAACAACCCAGACCGCCAGCUAAGGUCCCAAAGUCAUGGUUAAGUGGGAAACGAUGUGGGAAGGCACAGACAGCCAGGAUGUUGGCUUAGAAGCAGCCAUCAUUUAAAGAAAGCGUAAUAGCUCACUGGUCGAGUCGGCCUGCGCGGAAGAUGUAACGGGGCUAAACCAUGCACCGAAGCUGCGGCAGCGACACUAUGUGUUGUUGGGUAGGGGAGCGUUCUGUAAGCCGUUGAAGGUGUCCUGUGAGGGAUGCUGGAGGUAUCAGAAGUGCGAAUGCUGACAUAAGUAACGAUAAUGCGGGUGAAAAACCCGCACGCCGGAAGACCAAGGGUUCCUGUCCAACGUUAAUCGGGGCAGGGUGAGUCGACCCCUAAGGCGAGGCCGAAAGGCGUAGUCGAUGGGAAACAGGUUAAUAUUCCUGUACUUGGUGUUACUGCGAAGGGGGGACGGAGAAGGCUAUGUU